UAAUGGGACACAUAGUACUGCAUGGAUUUUGACGCCAUCCGAUGAUUGAAAAGUCACAAGCAUAAAUGCUCUUGUGUUUUAAAAGCAUAGGACUUCAACUCUCUCUCUCUCUCUAUAUAUAUAGUAGAGCUACUAUACUUUCGAAAGCAUAAAGAAGUUGGUACUUCUGACUUUUUGGCCCAUAGAUCAGGGCUUAGUUUGGUUAUGAGGCCCAUCAGACAUUAUGAGAUAAAAUGAACUAGGUUUAAAAUUAUAUAGAGAUAUAUUUCUGUGUUCUCCGAUGGGACCGUAAAAAAUAUAUUGUAACUGACUCAUUACGAUAUAAUUACAUAGGAAAACAAACAAAGUAUUUUUCCAUUGUACUUUCCUACCGUACAUA
rnacentral:lncRNA from 1 species